rnacentral:rRNA from 1 species
UCUACGGGUGGCUGCAGUGAGGAAUAUUGGUCAAUGGGCGCGAGCCUGAACCAGCCAAGUAGCGUGAAGGAUGACUGCCCUGCGGGUUGUAAACUUCUUUUAUAAAGGAAUAAAGUGAGGCACGUGUGCCUUUUUGUAUGUACUUUAUGAAUAAGGAUCGGCUAACUCCGUGCCAGCAGCCGCGGUAAUACGGAGGAGCCGAGCGUUAUCCGGAUUUAUUGGGGUUAAAGGGGGCGGAGUUGGGUUGUUAAAUCAGUUGUGAAAGUUUGCGGAUCAACCGUAAAAUUGCAAUUGAUACUGGCAGCCUUGAGUAGAGUUGAGGUAGGCGGAAUUCGUGGUGUAGCGGUGAAAUGCUUAGAUAUCACGAAGAACUCCGAUUGCGAAGGCAGCUUACUAAACUGCCACUGACAUUGAUGCUCGAAAGUGUGGGUAUCAAACAGGAUUAGAUACCCUUGUAGUC